CCUACGGGGAGCAGCAGUGAGGAAUAUUGGUCAAUGGACGAGCGUCUGAACCAGCCAAGUAGCGUGAAGGAUGACUGCCCUAUGGGUUGUAAACUUCUUUUAUAUGGGAAUAAAAUGUUCCACGUGUGGGAUUUUGUAUGUACUAUAUGAAUAAGGAUCGGCUAACUCCGUGCCAGCAGCCGCGGUAAUACGGAGGAUCCGAGCGUUAUCCGGAUUUAUUGGGUUUAAAGGGAGCGUAGGUGGAUUGUUAAGUCAGUUGUGAAAGUUUGCGGCUCAACAGUAAAAUUGCAGUUGAAACUGGCAGUCUGGAGUACAGUAGAGGUGGGCGGAAUUCGUGGUGUAGCGGUGAAAUGCUUAGAUAUCACGAAGAACUCCGAUUGCGAAGGCAGCUCACUGGACUGCAACUGACACUGAGGCUCGAAAGUGUGGGUAUCAAACAGGAUUAGAUACCCGAGUAGUC
rnacentral:rRNA from 1 species